rnacentral:rRNA from 1 species
CCUACGGGCGGCAGCAGUAGGGAAUCUUCCACAAUGGACGAAAGUCUGAUGGAGCAACGCCGCGUGAGUGAAGAAGGGUUUCGGCUCGUACAGCUCUGUUGGUAGUGAAGAAAGAUAGAGGUAGUAACUGGCCUUUAUUUGACGGUAAUUACUUAGAAAGUCACGGCUAACUCCGUGCCAGCAGCCGCGGUAAUACGUAGGUGGCAAGCGUUGUCCGGAUUUAUUGGGCGUAACGCGAGUGCAGGCGGUUCAAUAAGUCUGAUGUGAAAGCCUUCGGCUCAACCGGAGAAUUGCAUCAGAAACGGUUGAACGUGAGUGCAGAAGAGGAGAGUGGAACUCCAUGUGUAGCGGUGGAAUGCGUAGAUAUAUGGAAGAACACCAGUGGCGAAGGCGGCUCUCUGGUCUGCAACUGACGCUGAGGCUCGAAAGCAUGGGUAGCGAACAGGAUUAGAUACCCUGGUAGUC